rnacentral:rRNA from 1 species
CAUUAAAUUGGAUAGCAAGCUAAGUGUACUUGAUUGCGAAGAAAACUCCACAGUUAAGUGGGAUUGAGCUAGAGCAGUCUUGAGAUGGGUGACCUCCUAAGAAGUUUUGGUUACUAAGUGC